UUGGUGUGGAACUUUGUUAGAAUUGAUCCAUACAUCAACUUGAGCCUUCGCUGAGUAGAAAAUAAUCAGUUGCCGUAUGGACUGAGCCAAGAAAGAGAUGCAGAGCAGAUUGGCAAUGUGCUUUGUAAACAAAUAUGUGUGUGCUUGAGGAUCUGUUUCUAACCAAUUGCAUUAUUUUUCUGCAGUGAUACAUGUUCUACCCUUUGACACGUUUCACACCUGCCAAUGACUUCCUUCACCUGGUCAGCAGUAACUUACCGGCAACAACAAGAGAAAAAAUUGCUUUCAGAAUUGGACUGCAUAACAUCAGUGGAGACCACUUGUCGUAAGGAAUUCUGCUGGGAGAAUGCGCUGAUAAAUCAUGCUGCUUAACAUCAGAGAAUGUUUCAUUGCUUAAAGAAGGUUUGAAGUUUUGUGGAGCAGAAAGAGACCAUAGCCAUUUACCUUUUAAAUGGCUUUGAUUUUGACUUUAAAUUGUCAUACAGCAAGCAUUUGAAGUUACUGAGAUCAGUAAUAGAUGCUUACACAUAUAGUUACUCAGUAUUCUUCCUUCCUGUUUCCAAUACUCCACUGAAGGCACUGAUACAUGUUGAAAUACAGUUCCAUCAAUGCCAGCAACUUCUUAGUGAAUAUUUUUUGUACAUAGAUAAAUGUGUUCAAAGAAAUGCCAAUACCUAUUUCUUAAUAUAAUUUGUUUAAAGUUAAUUAUUAAUACAACUUGAAAUCUAAAUAUUUUUGUAACAUUUUUGUUAUAAAAGAUGUUGCAGUGACACUGAUGUGGAAUGAGUUCAUAAAACUAUGAUCUUGAUUCACACUGUGUACAGUUUGCACAGUAAUAGAAGUUGCUUGAGUCUAAUAUCACAAAAAAACAUAUUCUUCAUAUAUACUUCUAAUUCCAUUGUUCCUGUCCAAUAUUUCUUCAACGCUUAUUUUUCAUAUCUUCCCACCUUUACU